rnacentral:rRNA from 2 species
UGCCUAAUACAUGCAUCUCGAGCGAACAGAUGAGAAGCUUGCUUCUCUGAUGUUAGCGGCGGACGGGUGAGUAACACGUGGGUAACCUACCUAUAAGACUGGGAUAACUCCGGGAAACCGGGGCUAAUACCGGAUAAUAUUUUGAACCGCAUGGUUCAAUAGUGAAAGACGGUUUCGGCUGUCACUUAUAGAUGGACCCGCGCCGUAUUAGCUAGUUGGUAAGGUAACGGCUUACCAAGGCGACGAUACGUAGCCGACCUGAGAGGGUGAUCGGCCACACUGGAACUGAGACACGGUCCAGACUCCUACGGGAGGCAGCAGUAGGGAAUCUUCCGCAAUGGGCGAAAGCCUGACGGAGCAACGCCGCGUGAGUGAUGAAGGUCUUCGGAUCGUAAAACUCUGUUGUUAGGGAAGAACAAAUUUGUUAGUAACUGAACAAGUCUUGACGGUACCUAACCAGAAAGCCACGGCUAACUACGUGCCAGCAGCCGCGGUAAUACGUAGGUGGCAAGCGUUAUCCGGAAUUAUUGGGCGUAAAGCGCGCGUAGGCGGUUUCUUAAGUCUGAUGUGAAAGCCCACGGCUCAACCGUGGAGGGUCAUUGGAAACUGGGAAACUUGAGUGCAGAAGAGGAGAGUGGAAUUCCAUGUGUAGCGGUGAAAUGCGCAGAGAUAUGGAGGAACACCAGUGGCGAAGGCGGCUCUCUGGUCUGUAACUGACGCUGAUGUGCGAAAGCGUGGGGAUCAAACAGGAUUAGAUACCCUGGUAGUCCACGCCGUAAACGAUGAGUGCUAAGUGUUAGGGGGUUUCCGCCCCUUAGUGCUGCAGCUAACGCAUUAAGCACUCCGCCUGGGGAGUACGACCGCAAGGUUGAAACUCAAAGGAAUUGACGGGGACCCGCACAAGCGGUGGAGCAUGUGGUUUAAUUCGAAGCAACGCGAAGAACCUUACCAAAUCUUGACAUCCUUUGACCGCUCUAGAGAUAGAGUCUUCCCCUUCGGGGGACAAAGUGACAGGUGGUGCAUGGUUGUCGUCAGCUCGUGUCGUGAGAUGUUGGGUUAAUUCCCGCAACGAGCGCAACUCUUAUGCUUAUUUGCCAUCAUUAAGUUGGGCACUCUAGGUUGACUGCCGGUGACAAACCGGAGGAAGGUGGGGAUGACGUCAAAUCAUCAUGCCCCUUAUGAUUUGGGCUACACACGUGCUACAAUGGAUAAUACAAAGGGCAGCGAAUCCGCGAGGCCAAGCAAAUCCCAUAAAAUUAUUCUCAGUUCGGAUUGUAGUCUGCAACUCGACUACAUGAAGCUGGAAUCGCUAGUAAUCGUAGAUCAGCAUGCUACGGUGAAUACGUUCCCGGGUCUUGUACACACCGCCCGUCACACCACGAGAGUUUGUAACACCCGAAGCCGGUGGAGUAACCUUUUAGGAGCUAGCCGUCGAAGGUGGGACAAAUGAUGGUGUCCUCUUUUCCCG